AUUGAACGCUGGCGGCAUGCUUUACACAUGCAAGUCGAACGGUAACAGGGUGCUUGCACCGCUGACGAGUGGCGAACGGGUGAGUAAUGCGUCGGAACGUGCCGAGUAGUGGGGGAUAACGCAGCGAAAGUUGUGCUAAUACCGCAUACGUACUGAGGUAGAAAGUGGGGGACCUUCGGGCCUCACGCUAUUCGAGCGGCCGACGUCUGAUUAGCUAGUAGGUGAGGUAAAGGCUCACCUAGGCGACGAUCAGUAGCGGGUCUGAGAGGAUGAUCCGCCACACUGGGACUGAGACACGGCCCAGACUCCUACGGGAGGCAGCAGUGGGGAAUGUUGGACAAUGGGCGAAAGCCUGAUCCAGCCAUGCCGCGUGUCUGAAGAAGGCCUUCGGAUUGUAAAGGACUUUUGUCAGGGAGGAAAUCCCUAGUGCUAAUAACACUGGGGGAUGACAGUACCUGAAGAAUAAGCACCGGCUAACUACGUGCCAGCAGCCGCGGUAA
rnacentral:rRNA from 1 species